rnacentral:rRNA from 1 species
AUGCAAGUCGAACGGGAUUUAAUUAGCUUGCUAAUUAAUGAGAGUGGCGCACGGGUGAGUAACGCGUAUACAACCUACCUUAUACUGAGGGAUAGCCCAGAGAAAUUUGGAUUAAUACCUCAUAGCAUUAUCGAUUCGCAUGUUUUGAUAAUUAAAACUCCGGUGGUAUAAGAUGGGUAUGCGUGACAUUAGCUAGUUGGUGUAGUAACGGUGCACCAAGGCAACGAUGUCUAGGGGGUCUGAGAGGAUGGUCCCCCACACUGGUACUGAGACACGGACCAGACUCCUACGGGAGGCAGCAGUGAGGAAUAUUGGUCAAUGGACGCAAGUCUGAACCAGCCAUGCCGCGUGAAGGAUGACUGCCCUAUGGGUUGUAAACUUCUUUUAUAUGGGAAGAAUAGCAGAUACGUGUAUCUGUAUGACGGUACCAUACGAAUAAGCACCGGCUAACUCCGUGCCAGCAGCCGCGGUAAUACGGAGGGUGCAAGCGUUAUCCGGAAUCAUUGGGUUUAAAGGGUACGUAGGCGGUACUAUAAGUCAGAGGUGAAAGUUUGCAGCUUAACUGUAAAAUUGCCUUUGAAACUGUAGUACUUGAGAUAGGACGCCGUUGGCGGAAUGUGUAGUGUAGCGGUGAAAUGCUUAGAUAUUACACAGAACACCGAUUGCGAAGGCAGCUAACGAGGCCUAUUCUGACGCUGAGGUACGAAAGCGUGGGUAGCGAACGGGAUUA